UAAGGCUCUUACCGAAGGCUUUAAGUACUUGCCGUAAAGAAAAUUAUAACUACGAGUUCAAUUGUGAGUGUUACUUGUGUAAAAUACGAGUGUACUCUAAUUGCAAGACUUGAUAAAGACUCGUUUCUCAAUAUGAACAUCUACAUGUUUACCAUUUUGAUUGUUGCUACGAUCGUUUCCGCAUAUCCCACUGAAGAUGGAAAGCCCGUGCCGUUGCUGCUGUUAGGUGAAGACGAACUCUACAAAAUGAUAUCUAUCGAAGAUUUCGUAGAGUAUCAGCGCCAACGUAAAUUCACCUGCAACUUUAAUUGCGCUAUGCGCUGUAUUUUCAGAGGAUACAAACCAGGAUACUGUAACUCCGAUAAUAGGUGCAUUUGCAGUCUUUAAAAAAGCAGACAAUAACAAAUAUAACGGUACCAAGCAAAUAUAGGAACACAAGGGUAGUUUUUUGCGGUAAGUUCCGGUUAAUUUUGAUUAUCGUUCCUUUAAGAAGAGUAGAUUGGAAUUUUACCGCGAACCAUAUAAUGUUUCAAAAAUUUACACUUUUUUACAAUUUCAACACAUUGUACUAAAUUUGUCUAUAAUAAAUAUUCUUCAAGCAAUUAAAAUUAA